rnacentral:rRNA from 1 species
GAUGAACGCUGGCGGCGUGCCUAAUACAUGCAAGUCGAGCGAACAGACGAGGAGCUUGCUCCUCUGACGUUAGCGGCGGACGGGUGAGUAACACGUGGAUAACAUACCUAUAAGACUGGGAUAAUUUCGGGAAACCGGAGCUAAUACCGGAUAAUAUAUUGAACCGCAUGGUUCAAUAGUGAAAGACGGUUUUGCUGUCACUUAUAGAUGGAUCCGCGCCGCAUUAGCUAGUUGGUAAGGUAACGGCUUACCAAGGCAACGAUGCGUAGCCGACCUGAGAGGGGGAUCGGCCACACUGGAACUGAGAGACAGUCCAGACUCCUACGGGAGGCAGCAGUAGGGAAUCUUACGCAAUGGACGAAAGCCGGACGGAGCACCGCCGCCGGAGUGAUGAAGGUCUUCGGAUCGUAAAACUCUGUUAUUAGGGAAGAACAAAUGUGUAAGUAACUAUGCACGUCUUGACGGUACCUAAUCAGAAAGCCACGGCUAACUACGUG